AACGAACGCUGGCGGCAGGCCUAACACAUGCAAGUCGAGCGAACCCUUCGGGGUUAGCGGCUGACGGGUUAGUAACGCGUGGGAAUAUACCCUUUGGUACGGAAUAGCCUCGGGAAACUGAGAGUAAUACCGUAUGUGCCCUUGGGGAAGAUUUAUCGCCAAAGGAUUAGCCCGCGUUGGAUUAGAUAGUUGGUGGGGUAAGUGGCCUACCAAGUCUACGAUCCAUAGCUGGUUUGAGAGGAUGAUCAGCAACACUGGGACUGAGACACGGCCCAGACUCCUACGGGAGGCAGCAGUGGGGAAUCUUAGACAAUGGGCGCAAGCCUGAUCUAGCCAUGCCGCGUGGACGAUGAAGGCCUUAGGGUUGUAAAGUCCUUUCAGAUGGGAAGAUAAUGACGGUACCAUCAGAAGAAGCCCCGGCUAACUACCGUG
rnacentral:rRNA from 1 species